UACGGGGGGGGCAAGCGUUGUUCGGAAUUACUGGGCGUAAAGGGCUCGUAGGCGGCCAACUAAGUCGGACGUGAAAUCCCUCGGCUUAACCGGGGAACUGCGUCCGAUACUGGAUGACUCGAGUGUGGGAGAGGGGUGUGGAAUUCCCGGUGUAGCAGUGAAAUGACGUAGAUAUCGGGAGGAACAUCUGUGGCGAAGGCGACACCCUGGACCAGCACUGACGCUGAGGCGCGAAAGCGUGGGGAGCAAACAGGG
rnacentral:rRNA from 1 species